rnacentral:rRNA from 1 species
GAUGAACGCUGGCGGCGUGCUUAACACAUGCAAGUCGAACGAAGCACUUUAUUUGAUUUCCUUCGGGAUUGAUUAUUUUGUGACUGAGUGGCGGACGGGUGAGUAACGCGUGGGUAACCUGCCUUGUACAGGGGGAUAACAGUUGGAAACGGCUGCUCAUACCGCAUAAGCGCACAGUAUCGCAUGAUGCAGUGUGAAAAACUCCGGUGGUAUAAGAUGGACCCGCGUUGGAUUAGCUAGUUGGUGAGGUAACGGCCCACCAAGGCGACGAUCCAUAGCCGACCUGAGAGGGUGACCGGCCACAUUGGGACUGAGACACGGCCCAAACUCCUACGGGAGGCAGCAGUGGGGAAUAUUGCACAAUGGGCGAAAGCCUGAUGCAGCGACGCCGCGUGAGUGAAGAAGUAUUUCGGUAUGUAAAGCUCUAUCAGCAGGGAAGAUAAUGACGGUACCUGACUAAGAAGCACCGGCUAAAUACGUGCCAGCAGCCGCAGUAA